rnacentral:lncRNA from 1 species
AAUAAGCACUAGACCUUUGGGCCUCCAAUGAUUAUUAAACUAAUAGACUCAUUAUCACUCACUUAAUGGGAGGCUACGACUUAGUUAUCAAUAUAAUUUAAUCAUUUUUAGGGACCUAAUAAUUUUUGAGGAUUUUAUUAAAGGAUAGAUGAGAAGAAAAUAUCCAGCUAAUUUCAAUCCUCCCACUGACUUCACCAAGUCAGAUUAAAAAAAGUUUAAUUAAAGCUGGCAUUAGGAGCACCUAAAUUAGUCAAACUGAUUUACCUAAUGACAUGGGUGAGCCCUAAUCACCAAGUGAUCUAAUCAAAACCUAAUUCACCAGGUUGGCCAGGUAAGUGAGAUCAGUGGUGGGGAUAAGCCAUUAACUCGUUAGAGAUCGAAUCACUGCGAGUAGCUCCCGCUUAAAAACCACUGGUCAAAAUGCCAAACUUACCUUAGACACCA